CAUGACUCUAGUUUCUUCUCUGUCUCCUUAGGCCAGCUUACAAUGACCAGGCAAGGACCUGCCCUCGCUGACCUCUAAAGGUUAAUACAUACUAAAGAGCAAUGCUGUUUGAGGAGCAGAGAAACUCUGGAAAACUCUGCUGUCUGAAAUGAAAGCAAGGCACUCUCCAUUAACAGCUGGUGGAUUCCUGAUUUCUGCCCACGGAAGGCAUGUUCACACUGAGAGAGCUUUCCCGCAAGGGAAGAAUCACCUGCUUUAAUUCUUGCUGUCCUCUUCUGAGCUAGUUUGGUCAUCCACUCUGUAAAAAUGUGUGUCAACAUCAAGACAAAAAAAGAGUUGAAUUGAUAGGUGACUUGGGAGGUGCUCAUAGUUGUAAUAACUAUGGAAGACAAAAGAACACUGGCUGUAAUCUUUAUUUUCAGCACUAGUGUCUGGAACUAUAAAAACCUUCUUCAUUCCUUCCAACCAAUUGAUAUCAUGGCUAAAAAGUCUUUUCCUUAAAUCUGAUGGGUGUAAAAAUAAAAAGGAACAGCAUUUCUCUGGG